GUGACAAGAAAUAACAAUACAGGGCCUAACGGUCUUGUAAUUGGAAUGAGUGAAGUAUAAACCCCCUUUACAAGUAUCAAUUGGAGGGCAAGUCUGGUGCCAGCAGCCGCGGUAAUUCCAGCUCCAAUAGCGUAUAUUAAAGUUGUUGCAGUUAAAAAGCUCGUAGUUGGAUUUCUGUUGUAUUUUUAUAAUAUUAUUAAGGUAAUAUUUAUAAUAUCAACAUCCUUCCUAUUAUAUUUUUAAUAUAUAGGAAAUUUUACUUUGAGAAAAUUAGAGUGCUUAAAGCAG
rnacentral:rRNA from 1 species